rnacentral:rRNA from 1 species
UACGUAGGGGGCAAGCGUUGUCCGGAAUCAUUGGGCGUAAAGCGCGUGUAGGCGGUUCGGUAAGUCUGCUGUGAAAGUCCAGGGCUCAACCCUGGGAUGCCGGUGGAUACUGUCGGGCUCGAGUCCGGAAGAGGCGAGUGGAAUUCCUGGUGUAGCGGUGAAAUGCGCAGAUAUCAGGAGGAACACCAAUGGCGAAGGCAGCUCGCUGGGACGUGACUGACGCUGAGACGCGAAAGCGUGGGGAGCAAACAGG